UGACUGCUAAUACCGCAUAAGCGCACAGCAUCGCAUGAUGCAGUGUGAAAAGCCGAGACGGUAUGAGAUGGACCCGCGUCUGGAUUAGCUAGUUUGGUGGGGGUUAAACGGCCCCACCAAGGUCACGAUCAGUAGCCGACCUGANAGGGUGACCGGCCACAUUGGGACUGAGACACGGGCCCCAAAACUCCUACGGGACGGCAGCAGUGGGGAAUAUUGCACAAUGGGGGAAACCCUGAUGCAGCGACGCCGCGUGAGUGAAGAAGUAUUUCGGUAUGUAAAGCUCUAUCAGCAGGGAAGAAAAUGACGGUACCUGACUAAGAAGCCCCGGCUAACUACGUG
rnacentral:rRNA from 1 species